rfam:Triticum aestivum genome assembly, contig: Triticum_aestivum_CS42_TGACv1_scaffold_211390_3AS
AUGAUACUCCCUCCGUCCGGAUAUACUUGUCAUCAAAAUAAAUAAAAGGGGAUGUAUCUAGAUGUAUUCCAGUUCUAGAUACAUCCCUUUUUGUCCAUUUUGAUGACAAGUAUUUUCGGACGGAGGGAGUACUUG